AUUGAACGCUGGCGGCAGGCCUAACACAUGCAAGUCGAGCGAGCGGCGGACGGGUGAGUAAUGUAUGGGGACUGCCCGAUAGAGGGGGAUAACUACUGGCAACGGUGGCUAAUACCGCAUCCUAUCGGAUAACCCAUAUGGGAUUAGCUAGUAGGUGUGGUAAAGGCUGACCUAGGCGCCGAUCUGUAGCUGUCCUGAGAGGAUGAUCAGCCCAACUGGGCCUGAGACACGGUCCAUACUCCUCCGGAGGCACCAGUGGUGAAUAUUGCACAAUGGGCGCAAGCCUGAUGCAGCCAGGCCGCUGGUAUGAAGAAGGCCUUAGGGUUGUAAAGUACUUUCAGCGGGGAGGCGUUACCCGCAGAAGAAGCACCGGCUAACUCCGUGCCAGCCGCCGCGGUAAUAC
rnacentral:rRNA from 1 species